rnacentral:miRNA from 1 species
UUUCAAAAUAAGUGGUGACAAUUGCUUCUUGGCCUUUUGGCUAAGAUCAAGUGCAAAAUAAAUGGUGACAUCAGCAGGAUGGCCAACUAGAAGUU